rnacentral:rRNA from 1 species
AUUGAACGCUGGCGGCAUGCUUUACACAUGCAAGUCGAACGGUAACAGGCCUUCGGGUGCUGACGAGUGGCGAACGGGUGCGUAAUGCAUCGGAACGUACCCAGAGGUGGGGGAUAACGCAGCGAAAGCUGUGCUAAUACCGCAUGUGAUCUGAGGAUGAAAGCGGGGGACCGAGCAGCAAUGUUUGGCCUCGCGCCUUUGGAGCGGCCGAUGACGGAUUAGCUAGUUGGUGGGGUAAAGGCCUACCAAGGCGACGAUCCGUAGCUGGUCUGAGAGGACGACCAGCAACACUGGGACUGAGACACGGCCCAGACUCCUACGGGAGGCAGCAGUGGGGAAUUUUGGACAAUGGGCGCAAGCCUGAUCCAGCAAUGCCGCGUGCGGGAAGAAGGCCUUCGGGUUGUAAACCGCUUUUGGCAGGAACGAAACGGUGUCCGCUAAUACCGGGCGCUAAUGACGGUACCUGCAGAAUAAGCACCGGCUAACUACGUG